CUCAAGAUUGAGACCAGCCAGGAUACAGAGAGGAGCGAGACUUUGCUUUUCCAGGCUUUUGAAAACAACAUUAAAGCAACAGAAACCCUGCAAAGAAUCAGCUAUUCUGUUUAUUCCUUUCCCUAUAUCUGGGUUUUGCGACUGGAUACAAAGGUGGAGUCUUUUCAGAGAAAUGAAACUGUGGAGGAUUCAGUUCUGAGUCGGGUUCUCUCGAUUUGAAGAGAGAACUGGAUUUUUUUUUUGAUUUGGUGUGCUAACUGAACCAGUCAUGAACACUGGGGGUCGACUUAUUGCUGGGUCUCACAACAGGAAUGAGUUUGUUCUGAUAAAUGCUGAUGAGAAUGGAAGAAUAAAGUCAGUGCAGGAACUGAGUGGACAGGUUUGUCAGAUAUGUGGGGAUGAGAUUGAGAU
rnacentral:misc_RNA from 1 species